rnacentral:rRNA from 1 species
AUUGAACGCUGGCGGCAGGCCUAACACAUGCAAGUCGAGCGGAGCGGCGGACGGGUGAGUAAUGCCUAGGAAUCUGCCUGGUAGUGGGGGAUAACGUCCGGAAACGGGCGCUAAUACCGCAUACUAUCAGAUGAGCCUAGGUCGGAUUAGCUAGGUGGUGGGGUAAAGGCCUACCAAGUCGACGAUCCGUAACUGGCCUGAGAGGAUGAUCAGCCACACGUGAACUGAGACACGGUCCAGACUCCGACGGGAGGCAGCAGUGGGGAAUCUUAGGCAAUGGGCGAAAGCCUGAUCCAGCCAUGCCGCGUGUGUGAAGAAGGUUUUCGGAUCGUAAAACUCUGUACGUAGAGAGGCGGUAUCUACAGAAUAAGCACCGGCUAACUUCGUGCCAGCCGCCGCGGUAAUAC